rnacentral:rRNA from 1 species
CCUACGGGAGGCAGCAGUAAGGAAUAUUGGUCAAUGGACGAAAGUCUGAACCAGCCAUGCCGCGUGAAGGAUUAAGGCCCUCUGGGUUGUAAACUUCUUUUAUCUGGGACGAAAAAAGGGUAUUCUUACUCACUUGACGGUACCAGAGGAAUAAGCACCGGCUAACUCCGUGCCAGCAGCCGCGGUAAUACGGAGGGUGCAAGCGUUAUCCGGAUUUACUGGGUUUAAAGGGUGCGUAGGUGGGUUUGUAAGUCAGUGGUGAAAUCUCCGAGCUUAACUCGGAAACUGCCGUUGAUACUAUAAAUCUUGAAUUAUAUGGAGGUAAGCGGAAUAUGUCAUGUAGCGGUGAAAUGCUUAGAUAUGACAUAGAACACCAAUUGCGAAGGCAGCUUACUACGUAUUUAUUGACACUGAGGCACGAAAGCGUGGGGAUCAAACAGGAUUAGAUACCCUGGUAGUCCACGCCCUAAACGAUGGAUACUCGACAUUAGCGAUACACUGUUAGUGUCUGAGCGAAAGCAUUAAGUAUCCCACCUGGGAAAGUACGAUCGCAAGGAUUGAAA